UGGGGAAUUUUGGACAAUGGGGGCAACCCUGAUCCAGCCAUCCCGCGUGUGCGAUGAAGGCCUUCGGGUUGUAAAGCACUUUUGGCAGGGAAGAAACAGCCUGGGCUAAUAUCCCGGGCGACUGACGGUACCUGCAGAAUAAGCACCGGCUAACUACGUGCCAGCAGCCGCGGUAAUACGUAGGGUGCAAGCGUUAAUCGGAAUUACUGGGCGUAAAGCGUGCGCAGGCGGUUCGGAAAGAAAGGUGUGAAAUCCCAGGGCUUAACCUUGGAACUGCACGUUUAACUACCGGGCUAGAGUACGUCAGAGGGGGGUAGAAUUCCACGUGUCGCAGUUAAAUGCGUAGAGAUGUGGAGGAAUACCGAUGGCGAAGGCAGCCCCCUGGGAUGAUACUGACGCUCAUGCACGAAAGCGUGGGGAGCAAACA
rnacentral:rRNA from 1 species